CCUAUAGUGGCGGUUCUUUUACAAUUUCCAUUCAAUUCAAUACAAGUCAUUAAUUCGAUUUAGAACACUCAAGAAUCAUACAUAACCCUAUCUGCCUAGUGAAAGAAGUUAGCCUAACAAAAUUUUUCCUUUAAGUGUUUAUAAAGGUAAAAAAAAAAUAAAGCCACGAUAAAGUCAAAACUAAAUUAAACAUAUUCAUAUAUAACAGGAGACACCAUUUACAUUCCAAGCAGUAAAAGUAACAGCCCAUAAGUAUGUUGACUUACUUCUUCAGCAACUCCCUAAGCUUUUUAAUCAAUUGUUGAGCCCCAAAAUAAAAGCCAAUGAAGAAGAUACCCAACCAAAAAACUCCGCCAGUCGUCCACGAGAAAAGUUUUAUUUCAUCUGUCAAGUUGAUAUCAUUGUUGUUGCCGUCCUUAUCAUCACCACUGUCAUCGUCAUCUUUCCGAAAGUCAUUUGAAAGGACAUCACCAUCAUUAUUUGGAAAAAAUAAAUUCCAUGUUACCCUUGUGAUCGAAUAAAAUAAGAAGAGGAAGAAGAUCAAUCCGAUGACGCAAAUAACAAUCCCAAAGGAGUGGGAUAAAAAUGCAUAGGUGCCUGCCACAAAUGUAAUCAUCAUUGCUACCAUAGCAUAGAAGAGAAAGCACAUCUUAUUAACCAAUAGUAUCUUUUCAGAUAUCCCACGGCCACCAGCAUAAGGUGAAUAAAGA
rnacentral:misc_RNA from 1 species